rnacentral:rRNA from 1 species
AGCGAACGCUGGCGGCACGCCUAACACAUGCAAGUCGAGCGGGGUAGCAAUACCUAGCGGCAGACGGGUGCGUAACAUGUGGGAAUCUGCCUUUUGGUUCGGAACAACAUGGGGAAACCUGUGCUAAUACCGGAUAAGUCCUAACGGAGAAAGUUUUAAUGCCAAAAGAUGAGCCCGCAUUUGAUUAGCUUGUUGGUGAGGUAAAAGCUCACCAAGGCUAUAAUCAAUAGCUGAUUUGAGAGGAUGAUCAGCCACACUGGGACUGAGAUACGGCCCAGACUCCUACGGGAGGCAGCAGUGGGGAAUCUUGCACAAUGGGCGAAAGCCUGAUGCAGCGAUGCCGCGUGAGUGAAGAAGGCCUUUGGGUUGUAAAGCUCUUUUGUCGGGAAAGAUAAUGACUGUACCCGAAGAAUAAGGUCCGGCUAACUUCGUGCCAGCAGCCGCGGUAAUACGAAGGGACCUAGCGUAGUUCGGAAUUACUGGGCGUAAAGAGUAUGUAGGCGGCUAGAUAAGUUAAUUGUGAAAGCCCAAAGCUUAACUUUGGAACUGCAAUUAAAACUAUUUAGCUGGAGUAUGAUAGAGGAAAGCGGAAUACAUAGUGUAGAGGUAAAAUUCAUA